GGUUAAGCGACUAAGCGUACACGGUGGAUGCCCUGGCAGUCAGAGGCGAUGAAGGGCGUGCUAAUCUGCGAUAAGCGCCGGUAAGGUGAUAUGAACCGUUAUAACCGGCGAUACCCGAAUGGGGAAACCCAGUGUGAUUCGUCACACUAUCAUUAACUGAAUCCAUAGGUUAAUGAGGCGAACCGGGGGAACUGAAACAUCUAAGUACCCCGAGGAAAAGAAAUCAACCGAGAUUCCCCCAGUAGCGGCGAGCGAACGGGGAGGAGCCCAGAGCCUGAAUCAGCAUGUGUGUUAGUGGAAGCGUCUGGAAAGGCGCGCGAUACAGGGUGACAGCCCCGUACACAAAAGCGCAUGUGCUGUGAGCUCGAUGAGUAGGGCGGGACACGUGGUAUCCUGUCUGAAUAUGGGGGGACCAUCCUCCAAGGCUAAAUACUCCUGACUGACCGAUAGUGAACCAGUACCGUGAGGGAAAGGCGAAAAGAACCCCGGCGAGGGGAGUGAAAAAGAACCUGAAACCGUGUACGUACAAGCAGUGGGAGCACAGGUUUACCUGUGUGACUGCGUACCUUUUGUAUAAUGGGUCAGCGACUUAUAUUCUGUAGCAAGGUUAACCGAAUAGGGGAGCCGGAGGGAAACCGAGUCUUAAUUGGGCGUUAAGUUGCAGGGUAUAGACCCGAAACCCGGUGAUCUAGCCAUGGGCAGGUUGAAGGUUGGGUAACACUAACUGGAGGACCGAACCGACUAAUGUUGAAAAAUUAGCGGAUGACCUGUGGCUGGGGGUGAAAGGCCAAUCAAACCGGGAGAUAGCUGGUUCUCCCCGAAAGCUAUUUAGGUAGCGCCUCGUGAAUUCAUCUCCGGGGGUAGAGCACUGUUUCGGCUAGGGGGCCAUCCCGGCUUACCAACCCGAUGCAAACUGCGAAUACCGGAGAAUGUUAUCACGGGAGACACACGGCGGGUGCUAACGUCCGUCGUGAAGAGGGAAACAACCCAGACCGCCAGCUAAGGUCCCAAAGUCAUGGUUAAGUGGGAAACGAUGUGGGAAGGCCCAGACAGCCAGGAUGUUGGCUUAGAAGCAGCCAUCAUUUAAAGAAAGCGUAAUAGCUCACUGGUCGAGUCGGCCUGCGCGGAAGAUGUAACGGGGCUAAACCAUGCACCGAAGCUGCGGCAGCGACACUGUGUGUUGUUGGGUAGGGGAGCGUUCUGUAAGCCUGUGAAGGUGUGUCGUGAGGCAUGCUGGAGGUAUCAGAAGUGCGAAUGCUGACAUAAGUAACGAUAAAGCGGGUGAAAAGCCCGCUCGCCGGAAGACCAAGGGUUCCUGUCCAACGUUAAUCGGGGCAGGGUGAGUCGACCCCUAAGGCGAGGCCGAAAGGCGUAGUCGAUGGGAAACGGGUUAAUAUUCCCGUACUUGGUGUUACUGCGAAGGGGGGACGGAGAAGGCUAUGUUGGCCGGGCGACGGUUGUCCCGGUUUAAGCGUGUAGGUGUGUGUUCCAGGUAAAUCCGGUUCACUUUAACACUGAGGCGUGACGACGAGGCACUACGGUGCUGAAGCAACAAAUGCCCUGCUUCCAGGAAAAGCCUCUAAGCAUCAGGUAACAUCAAAUCGUACCCCAAACCGACACAGGUGGUCAGGUAGAGAAUACCAAGGCGCUUGAGAGAACUCGGGUGAAGGAACUAGGCAAAAUGGUGCCGUAACUUCGGGAGAAGGCACGCUGACACGUAGGUGAAGUGAUUUACUCAUGGAGCUGAAGUCAGUCGAAGAUACCAGCUGGCUGCAACUGUUUAUUAAAAACACAGCACUGUGCAAACACGAAAGUGGACGUAUACGGUGUGACGCCUGCCCGGUGCCGGAAGGUUAAUUGAUGGGGUCAGCGCAAGCGAAGCUCCUGAUCGAAGCCCCGGUAAACGGCGGCCGUAACUAUAACGGUCCUAAGGUAGCGAAAUUCCUUGUCGGGUAAGUUCCGACCUGCACGAAUGGCGUAAUGAUGGCCAGGCUGUCUCCACCCGAGACUCAGUGAAAUUGAACUCGCUGUGAAGAUGCAGUGUACCCGCGGCAAGACGGAAAGACCCCGUGAACCUUUACUAUAGCUUGACACUGAACAUUGAGCCUUGAUGUGUAGGAUAGGUGGGAGGCUUUGAAGUGUGGACGCCAGUCUGCAUGGAGCCGACCUUGAAAUACCACCCUUUAAUGUUUGAUGUUCUAACGUGGACCCGUAAUCCGGGUUGCGGACAGUGUCUGGUGGGUAGUUUGACUGGGGCGGUCUCCUCCUAAAGAGUAACGGAGGAGCACGAAGGUUGGCUAAUCCUGGUCGGACAUCAGGAGGUUAGUGCAAUGGCAUAAGCCAGCUUGACUGCGAGCGUGACGGCGCGAGCAGGUGCGAAAGCAGGUCAUAGUGAUCCGGUGGUUCUGAAUGGAAGGGCCAUCGCUCAACGGAUAAAAGGUACUCCGGGGAUAACAGGCUGAUACCGCCCAAGAGUUCAUAUCGACGGCGGUGUUUGGCACCUCGAUGUCGGCUCAUCACAUCCUGGGGCUGAAGUAGGUCCCAAGGGUAUGGCUGUUCGCCAUUUAAAGUGGUACGCGAGCUGGGUUUAGAACGUCGUGAGACAGUUCGGUCCCUAUCUGCCGUGGGCGCUGGAGAACUGAGGGGGGCUGCUCCUAGUACGAGAGGACCGGAGUGGACGCAUCACUGGUGUUCGGGUUGUCAUGCCAAUGGCACUGCCCGGUAGCUAAAUGCGGAAGAGAUAAGUGCUGAAAGCAUCUAAGCACGAAACUUGCCCCGAGAUGAGUUCUCCCUGAGACUUAGAGUCUCCUGAAGGAACGUUGAAGACGACGACGUUGAUAGGCCGGGUGUGUAAGCGCAGCGAUGCGUUGAGCUAACCGGUACUAAUGAACCGUGAGGCUUAACCUU
rnacentral:rRNA from 1 species